rnacentral:rRNA from 1 species
UACGGGGGGAGCAAGCGUUGUUCGGAUUUACUGGGCGUAAAGGGCGCGUAGGCGGUCAGCACAAGUCAGUUGUGAAAUCUCCGGGCUUAACUCGGAAAGGUCAACUGAUACUGUGCGACUAGAGUGCAGAAGGGGCAACUGGAAUUCUCGGUGUAGCGGUGAAAUGCGUAGAUAUCGGGAGGAAUACCAGUGGCGAAGGCGGCUUCUUGGCCUGUUCUUGACGCUGAGGCGCGAAAGCUGGGGGAGCAAACGGG